UGAUAAAUAGAGAAGACUGCAACCGUAGUCUCCUUCUAACCUUGGUAAGGAUGAUCUACUGUUCUAAUGGGGAGGCUAACGGAAUCUAGACACCACAAAGGAUGUUCAACCCGCACCUAUAAACCCUAUCCUUCCUACUAACGAGAUGUGAUCUACAAAGGUAACUCGGAAUUGUCACAUUCCUCACUACUACCACGGUCCAGCUAGUCAGGGAAUAUCUAUGAGUACCCAAGCCUAAACACCACAUUUACACCAGCAAUGAUUACUCUAAACUCUACACGAAGAGAUUAAAGUAAACUCAUAAACCAUAAGAACAAUAAAACAAGAACUUACUAGAAUUUAGAAGUCGAAAUACUGAAGAAUCCUAGGAGCAAGCUUCGGGUUAGGAGAACUUGAUCCCGCAGGUACAAGCUUGGAGUAGACACCGACAGGCCGGGCUUCCUCCAUUCUACACCUCCACUCUAUCUCUCUCAAUCUAGUAGAAACUAGAAGAUCUAUUUCUACCUUACAUUGGUUGCUAAGCCUAAAAAAGAAAUAUUAAUUAGAGAAGAGGUUUUCCUUCGAGGGCACCCCUCAGUCUCUAUGAUAAUUUCUUCAUGUCUUCUCCAGGGGCCAGGGCGGUCUCCUUAUAUAGUCCUCCCCUUCUAUGCGUUUUGGGUCGGUAGGCGAGGUGGUACUAUGUUUUCCUUGAUCCAAUAGGUCGGUGGAACAUCCCGAGCGAAGAGAGUCCUGAAAGCUCUCCAGCAGGGGGCGGGCGCCCUAGGCCUGGCCCCUUUCGGCCUCCGCUUCCUUCCCGUGCCUUCUGGAGUCUUCUAGAUGGUAGAAAAUUGCGCGGUGCGUUGAUAUCUCUAUGUAAUCCCGACAUGUGGGCCUUUCUUCCGUAUUUCCUAAUAACCCCCUGCAGAAAUAGACAAACACCAAAACUCGUGGAAUUCUGUCAGAUAAAACCCUAAGUCUAGAUGUUGAUUUCAUUUGGAUCCUUUUCUUUGUUUAUUUGAUAAUUAAAUUUGAUACUUAAGGACCGUCAACAAACUCCCCCAAGCUUACCUCUUGCUCAUCCCUAAGCAAGGAUAGACUCAGCAAUGGAUUAGAAGUUGUUGCAAUAUCUUUAAAAAUUGACGGUACACAUGCUUUUUAAAUAAGAUCUCAUCCCUGAGUUAGAGUAAACUGUCAAGACUUAAAACAUACUUUACCUUCACCAUGGGACUUGUAACCGUCACUUCUGUCUUGAGAGGUUAAAAGAUAGAACAGUCUAGCCAAGUGCCAUGUCUCUUAUUCUUGAUCAGCUAUAGCUCUGGGGUUUUUUGUAGAUUUUCAAAUAAAACUCAGAGAUUCCUUGUAUGACUCUCUCAUAUCUCUCUUUUGUGGUAUUUCUGGAUCCUUACCAAGGCAUUGAUGGUAUAUGCCUUCUCUCAAGAUAUGUGGUAUUUAUGGUAUAAGGCAUAGUGACAUUGCCUUCUCUCUCACCCUACUCUAAUAAGGCUUGAUAUCUGGAGCUCAUAGGUGGGAGACAGCUAAUACAUACUUACAAGACAUUUAUUGCAUAGUCAAACCAUGGAUCUAGAGAAACAAAUCAAUAAGCCAAAUCAAGAUGUGCAUGUGUGGCGAAUGAAUGGUGUAAGGUGAUAAUAGUAAUAACAAUGGUGAAAGUCUAAUUCGACUUUUGCUCUUUUGAGGGGAUACAUACCUUCCCUGCUUUUUGAAACUUUAUGAGGAGAAUGAGAUGCUCUUCUUUUUCUUUCCUCUCAGGUGGGUGUCUUGUACCCCUAAUUCUACUGUCGGACACUUGUCCAUUUUUACCUCUCGUCUCACUUUUUCUUUCUUUCGAGGUUCCGAGCACUUGCCCUUUUUAUUUCCUUGUUUAUAUAUAUUUUUUCUCUUUUCUUUCUUUUUUUUUCAGAGCACUCAUCUCUUGAGAUAAUAUAGCAAGUGGUAGUAACCAAAAUAUUUGGAGCAUUUAUUUCACAGGGAAUAACAGGGAUAGGAAAAUGUUUUUGACUCUUCUCUCCCGGAUUAGGAGUAGAAUAUUUUUGGGUGAUUCUGGAGAUGGAAAUGGAUGGAUAUAUGUGGAUGGUACUUCUGGAGUAGAAGUAGCAUAUAUGAGUGAACGUGCAAGUGAAUCUUGAUUUAACCACAUGACAAGCUCCUAAGGGUCUACACAGCUUGACCACACUCAAUGCUCAUAAGCAGUAAAUAGUAAAUGUGUGGCUCAAAGUCUAGCAAGCAUGUAUAUAUGGCUGUGGUAGGAAUUUAAACUCUCAUCAUACAGGAACUCAUCAUGCAAUAUUUUAAAGAUUUUUCAAGAUAAAAUUUUCCAAAAUUCUAGCAUCUCUAGGAACAGAUAAACAGCAGCUCAACCUUCCCAUAUCAUAUCCGUUAACAACUUAGAUUUCAGAUCAAAUUUUCAUCCCACAAGUUUAGAUCUAGAGCAAGCUUUAAAUUAUAACAGUUAUGUCUAAACUUGAGAGGGAACUUCAAAAUUGCAAAUUAGGCAGAGCAACUAUUCAUCAUAUCCAUGCUAGAGUUUUAUUAUUAAGAUUCAGAUUAGCAUAGCCACUUUAUUUAUUUAUUAAACAUACUAAGCAAAAUAUAUAUAUAAGCACAAAAUCUUUAUUUGGUUUUUCAUAGUUUAUGUAUUUUAAUAUUCUAACAUAAUAUAAGUAGAAAGAUAGGUAGAAAUACUUAGCGAGAAUAAUGGGGGUGCUCUCCCCCAAGCUGAAUUUUGACGUAAUUUCUCUUGAUGUAGCUAGCAGGUGGCAGAGGUGUAUUUGAAAGUCAGCACCAUUCUGACAGCGAUUAGAAUGUCCUCCGUCUGUUAGUCUUCUUGAUUCUUAAAUUCUGUGGAGCUCAAAUAAACAACAAAGCUUGUAGAACUAAUUAAGUGUUAGCAUAAAUAUCUAGCCUUCAUCAUGUUGGGCUUCCUUAAUAAAUGUUAUUUAUUUAGUAGGAUCAUACACUUAUUAUUAUUUUUUUUUUAUAUUUAUAUUGUAAGAUGAAAACUUAUUUAUUUUAUUUUUAUGCCACCACAGUGAAUGUAUUUAUGGGUUUUAUGCCAUGAGCAUACUCACAUGGGGCUUACUAUUUUUUAACAUUUUUAUUUUCUUAUCAAGAUAGCAUGAACCUGAUUAACUAAGCAAAUUAUAAUUGAAUAAUUGAAAGGAAAGGGUAACUACCAACUUUACCUCUUAGCAAGGCGUUCGGUAUUUUUAUGUCCUCCGAACGGGACUCUCUGUUUUCUCAGUCGUCCUGGGAUUCGCUAGGUGGCGUAGUCGGUGAUUUCGGUGGCGCCUCUCUUCGUGUAUAACUAUCUUCUCCCUCCACAUCUGACUCGGUGCUACGGUCUCCUCAGGACAGUUCUGUUCAAGCUGUAUGUCUUCAGUCCUUAUCACUUCUCCUUCGUAGUCUAUGUUGACGGUCCUUAAGUAUCAAAUUUAAUUAUCAAAUAAAUAAAGAAAAGGAUCCAAAUGAAAACAAGAUCUAGACUUAGGGUUUUAUCUGACAGAAUUCCACGAGUUUUGGUGUUUGUCUAUUUCUGCAGGGGGUUAUCAGGAAAUAUGGAAGAAAGGCCCACAUGACAGGAUUACGUAAAGAUAUUAACGUGCUGCGCAAUUAUCUUACAUCUAGAAGACUCCAGAAUUCACGAGACCGAAGCGGAGGCGAAACGGGGCCAGAGACAGGGCGCCCGCCCUAUCCUACUGGGCGCCCGCCCUGCCCCCAAGUCCAAUCAGGACUCUGCUUUGCGGGAGAUCUCCACCGACCUAAAGGAUGAAUCUAAACCAUACAAUCUAUGUCGGUUUGAUCCAAGGGCCCAUAUUCACUUGGAGGGACUAUAAAACCAGACCCCCUGGCCCCUGGAGGAGACAGCCUCUCAACCCUAAUUCAUUGUUCCAUCAAGGGAGAAGAAGCCUCUGAUCAAGAUUAGAGCCACCACAUCAAUUAGACAUCUAGAUUAGCAUAGCUACAUAGGAUUAGAACUAGAAGGAGUCAAUCUUCGAUUGGUUUCCGGAUCUGUCAAGAGGAUUCUUGGUAAUUCUCUAAUUGUGCUUCUAAUUGCUUUCUAAUUAUCUUUGUUCUUCAAUAUUAUGAAUAUGACUUUGUUCUACUUCAAUAUAUUGCUUAUGACUUUGCUCUACUUGCUUAUAUUCAAGAUUAUAUUGUUCUUAGUUUAUCAUAGUUAUGUACUUGGCUUAGUUAGAUUCGAUCUAUAUACAUGCUUAGGAUCAUAUAGCGUUUAUCCAUCGGAUCCAUGGGUAAAUGAUAGAUAUUGUGUAGGCGUGGUGCUUAUACCGUAUUUAUCUGCGAUUGUACCCAAUAUGCCAGAUCGUGGGGUGGUUCGUGAUAGUGACAGCUUCAUUGAUUCUUAUAUAGUCCCCCUCUCAUGUAUUGGGCUGGCAGAGCAACAUUAUUACAGGGGUGUGAUUGCUAUGUUUCCCAUAUUCCUUGCUAAUAUCACUAUGCAUGGGUGUAGUCUUGUCUCACAAUGAUUACUAAGUAUGCUUGCACUAAUUAUGAUAAUGCUAGACUAUAUAGUUAAGAAUAACUUAGGGAAUAUUCUUGUAGUUCGUUCUAAUACCAUGCUAAUGACUUUCUAGAGUAUCUAAUUGAGGUGCUUAUCAUAUUUAUUAUGUGGCUAGAUCAGAUUAGUUAUCCUUGUCACUAUUAUUAUUUCAUAUAUCUUUUAUGUGACACUUAUCUCUGUAUGAAGAGUUAGAUAUAAUGUUCUCAAUUAUACAUGCAAUGAUAGAUGCUCAAUCUCAUAUUAUAUUCUGUAAUCAAUAGUGAUGAUUUCUAAUCCCUUCCCAGUGGUAAAAAUAUAAAUAACGAUACCUGGAAUACUUCCCGGUUAAAAUGUUGCAUCGGUAUUAAUCUGUGCGCUUGCAGAUCUCAUUCAUUAUUUAUUUAGAAGAGCAAUUGCAUAUUUCAAUACCGCGUCUCUCUUAUCAUGCUGGGGAUGACAACUUGGCUUAAGUGGUGUGAGGGAUAGGUUUGGCAUUUUUGGCACCGUUACUAGAUUUAGAGAACUUAGUCUACUUUUGGUAAUGAUGUUAAGAAUACCCAACAAGCAUUUUUGGCGCCGUUGCCGGGGAAGGUUGAUUACUAAUCAGGAAUGGAAUAAAAGAUUUUGAGUUAUCAUUCGCAUCACUAAUAUGAUUGAGCUUAUCUAUUCUCUCAUACAGUUUUACCCCGAUAUUUUUCUAUUUUAUCUUAUGCAGGGGAAUGUAUGAAUAGAAGACAUCUUCCAGGAAAUUUUGUUGACAAUCCCGAAGCAUUAUUCAAGAAGACGAGAGCCAAGCUAAAGAAAUCAUCAACACUUUAGCAAGAAGCUUCAUCCAAUCAAGAAGAUCACCGGAACUUGUCUUCAGAGUUCAAAGCCAUGGCGAACAAAUCAAUCCGCGAGUUCUCAGCUCCCACUACGGACAACAUCCGCACUGGACCUGCUGCAGAGAUCGACGGCAACUUUGAGCUCAAGCCUGGACUUAUCAACAUGGUGCAAUCCAACCAGUUCUGUGGGAAGGCACACGAAGAUGCUAGUGCUCAUUUACAACACUUCCUGGAGAUUUGCAACACAUUCACCAUAGCAGGAGUUUCCAAAGAUGCUAUACUACUUCGCCUCUUCCCAUUCUCACUGUUAGGAAGAGCGAAGCAGUGGUUCUACGCUACAAAGGAGAAGAAUACUACGUGGGCACUCUGCUCAACAAACUUCCUGGCUAAGUUCUUUCCCAUGGGCAAGACCAAUGCUCUCCGUGGGAAGAUUACAAGUUUUAAGCAACAAAAUGAUGAAUCUGCUCCAGAAGCAUGGGAGCGCUUUCAAGACUACAUCCUAGAAUGUCCCCAUCAUGGAAUGGAGAGUUUGCUAUUGAUGCAGACAUUUUAUCAUGGGCUCAGUAACAGUGCCCGAGAGACCAUGGAUGCUGCAGCUGGAGGAGCAUUCUUAUCACUUACUAUACCACAAGCCACAGCUCUUGUGGAGAAGAUGGCGUCCAACCAAAGCUGGAAUGAAGAGAGGACCCAGACACGCAAGAGAGGUGGAGGUAUACAUCAGCUAAAGGAGGCAGACAUGCUGUUUGCAAAGCUAGACCUGCUCAUGAAGAAGCUCGACGAUAGAGCUGGAGACAAGAAAGAAGUUAUGCACAUCUACGACUCUCACUUGACUUGUGAGGAGUGUGGAGACACUAGACACUCAGGCAACCACUGCCCUGAGAUGCUUGAGGAUGUGAACUACAUCAACAACAACAACUACUACUACUACAACCGUCCUCAACAAAAUCAAGGUUGAAAUCAAGAGAGGCCUAACUACUCAGGUAAUUAUCAAGGUAACAAUUCUUACAACAAUAAUGCUAACAAUUUUCCACCUUUGAGAGAGUUAUUGUCUAAUCAAGGAAAGCUAAUGGAUAACCUAUCUAAGAAAUUGGCAUCUAAUGAUAAAAUGCUAGAAAAUAUAAAUAAUAGAAUGGAUAAUUUCUCUAUUGCCAUCAAGAAUCAAAUUAGCUUUAAUAAAAUGAUUGAAUCCCAGUUAAAUCAAAUAGUUGCUGCUGUUCCUUCUACUAACCCUGGUAUACCAUCACAACCGGAAGGAUUAGAAUCUGCAAAUCUUGUAGACAUGUUUGAUGCAGGUAAUUGGAGUAACCCCGUCACUGAAUUUUCUACUGACCGUCUGCCGGUCAAGAGAGGCGAUCCAGGACGCCCCGUCAUCCCGAUCUCUAUCGGCAUGGUGGACGUUCCAGAAGCACUCUGCGACUUUGGCUCCAGUGUCAACAUUAUACCCUGGGUACUCUAUGAAAAAUUCUUUACAUAUCCUUUAUUAGAAGCAACCAUGUGUUUGCAGUUUGCAGAUCAGACGAUAACUUUUCCAAAAGGAAUAGUGAGGAACCUUUGUGUCCAAGUUGGUACCUUGUAUGCCCCAGCAGACUUCGUAGUGGUAGAGACCGGAAAUGAUGAGAGAGCACCUAUCAUCCUAGGAAGGCCAUUCUUGAACACCACGGGAGCUAUCAUCUACGCUAGUGCUGCCAAGAUCAGUUUCUACGUCAAAGGGAGGAAGGAGACAUUUUUCUUCAAGAACAAGACUACACAAAUUCAAGAUCAAUCCAGACGUAAAUCAAGGAAGAGGACCAACAGGAGAAACAGGAACAAGCAAGUGUGGACCGAGUCAGCUAAGAUGGUCACUGCAAUUCAUGGAGGCCAAGAUCAUCAACUUAAGUCACCGUGUUUGACUAAGAAGGACGACCCAGGAAUGCCAAGCAUCUACUGCUCCAUAAAUGGAUACAACUUCUACAAGACGACUUGCGACACCGGAUCGGGCGUCAACAUAAUGGCCGCAGUCACCUAUCGGCUCUUGUUCGGGACCAGGCCACUAAGACCAACAUACAUUCAGCUCCAGAUGGCAGAUCAGACAUUUCGAGAAGUUAAAGGAAUAGUAUCUGAUGUCCCAGUCAAAAUAGACGAUCACUUUGUCUACACAGACUUUCAAAUUGUUGACAUGGGAGAAGACGAGUACGAUCCACCCAUCAUCCUUGGAAGACCGUUCCUCCGCACCGUUAAAGCAAUUAUCUACAUUGGAACCGGAGAAGUCCAUAUGCACUUCCCCUCAGAGAAGGUACGCCGUUAUUUUACUGACCCUAACUAUAUCAUUGAAGAAUCUAAGCAGGUAAGAAAGAGACGCAACCGCAACCAGAGGAGGCAGAUCAUCAAGGACGGAUGGGCAUACUACGAAGGAGAAGUUAUAAGAUCAGAAGACGUUGAGUUUAAACAGAAUUAUCCAGAGGAGAUUGAAGCACCGAGUCAGGUAUGGAAAAUGAAGAUAACUAUACAAGAAGAGGAGGCGCCACCGGAAGUACCGACUACGCCACCCAACGAACCUCAGGACGAUUAAGAAAAUGGAGAGUCCCGUUCGGAGGACUUAAAAACACCGAACGCCCUACCAAGAGGUAAACUUGGUAGUUAUCCUUUCCCUUUCAAUUAUUUCAAAUAGUUUACUUAGUUAAUUAUGUUCAUACUAUCCUAAAAAGAAAAUAAAAAUGUGAAAAAACUGUAAGCCCCAUGUGAGUAGACGAGUGGCAUAAAACCCAUAAGUACAUUCACUGUGGUGGCAUAAAAAUAAAAUAAUUAUUUUUCUGCUUUAUAAAAUAAAAAUAUAAAAACAGGGAGUAAUAUUUAUUAAGGAGUCUCAAGAUAAUAAAGGCUAGAUAUUUGUGCUAACACUUAAUUAGUUCCACAAGCUUUGUUGUCUAUUUGAGCUCCACAGAAUUUAAGAAUCAAGAAGACUAGUAGACGGAGGACAUUCUGAAUGCUGCUGACUUUCAAAUACACCUCUGCCAACUGCUAGCUACAUCAAGAGAAAUUACGUCAAAAUUCAGCUUGGGGGAGAGCACCCCCAUUUAUCCCGAUAAGUAUUUCUAUCUAUCUAUCUUUAUACUUAUAUUAUUUUAGAAUAUUAAAAUACAUAUAAACUAUGGAAAACCAAAUAAAGAUUUUAUGCUUAUAUAUAUAUAUAUGUCUUUUGCUUAGUGUGUUUAAUAAAUAAAUAAAGUGGCUAUGCUAAUCUGUAUCUAAAUAAAACUUAAGCAUGGAUAUGAUAAAUAGUUGCUCUGCCUAAUUUGCAAAUUUUAAGUUCUCUCUCAAGUUUAGAUAUAGCUGUUAUAAUUUAAAGCUUACCCUAGACCUAAACUUGUGGGAUGAAAAUUUGAUCUGAAGUCUAAGUUAUUAACGGAUAUGAUAUGGGAAGGUUGAGCUGCUGUUUAUCUGUUCCUAGAGAUGCUAGAAUUCUGGAGAAUUUUAUCUUUGAAAAUCUUUAAAAUGUUGCAUGAUGAGUUCCUGUAUGAUGAGAGUUUAAAUUCCUACCACAGCCAUAUAUACAUGCUUGCUAGACUUUGAGCCAUACAUUUAUUAUUUACUGCUUAUGAGCAUUGAGUGUGGUCAAGCUGUGUAGACCCUUAGGAGCUUGUCAUGUGGUUAAAUCAAGAUUUCACUUGCACGUUCACUCAUAUAUGCUACUUCUACCCCGGAAGUACCAUCCACAUAUAUCCACCCAUUCCAUCUCCGGAAUCACCCAAAAAUAUUCUACUCCUAAUCCAGGAGUGAAUAACCAAAAAUAUUUCUGUUUUCCCCUUGUGAAAUAAAUGCUCAAGUUAUCUUGUUACUACCACUUGCUAUAUUAUCUCAAGAGAUGAAUGCUCUGAAAAAAAGAGAAAGAUACGAGGAAAUAAAAAGGAGCAAGUGCUCGGAACCUCGAAAGAAAACAAAAAAAGUGAGAUGAGAGGUAAAAAUGGACAAGUGUCCGACACUAGAAUUAGGGGUACAAGAUGCCCACCUGAGAGAAAAGAAAAAGAAGAGCAUCUCAUUCUCAUCAUAAAGUUUCAAAAGCAAGAAAGGUAUGUAUCCCCUCAAAGAGCAAAGUAGAAUUAGACUUCCACCUCCAUUGUUUUCACCAUUGUUAUCACCAUCAUCACCAUUCACCAUUCAUUCGCCACACAUGCACAUCUUGAUUUGGCUUAUUGACUUGUUUCUUUGGAUCCAUGGUUUGACUAUGCAAUAAAUGUCUUGUAAGUAUGUAUACUUUAUCUCCCACCUACGAGCUCCAGAUAUUAAAGCCUUAUUAGAGUAGGGUGAGGGAGAAGGCAAUGUCACUAUGCCUCAUACCACAAAUACUACAUAUCUUGAGAGAAGGCAUAUACCAUCACUGCCUUGGUAAGGAUCCAAAAAUACCACAAAAGAGAGACCUGAGAGAAUCAUACAAGGAAACUCUGAGUUUUAUUUGAAAAUCUGCAAAAACCCCAGAGCUAUAGCUGAUCAAGAAUAAGAGACAUGGCACUUGGCUAGACUGUUCUAUCUUUUAACCACUCAAGACAGAAGUGACAGUUACAAGUCUCAUGGUGAAGGUAAAGUAAGUAAAUUUUAAGUCUUGACAGUUUACUCUAACUCAGAGAUGAGAUCUUAUUUAAAAGCAUGUGAACCGUCAAAUUUUUUUUAAGAUAUUGCAACAACUUAUGAUCCACAGCUGAGUCUAUCCUUGCUCAGGGACGAGCAAGAGGUAAGCUUGGGGGAGUUUGUUGACGGUCCUUAAGUAUCAAAUUUAAUUAUCAAAUAAAUAAAGAAAAGGAUCCAAAUGAAAACAAGAUCUAGACUUAGGGUUUUAUCUGACAGAAUUCCACGAGUUUUGGUGUUUGUCUAUUUCUGCAGGGGGUUAUCAGGAAAUAUGGAAGAAAGGCCCACAUGACAGGAUUACGUAAAGAUAUUAACGUGCUGCGCAAUUAUCUUACAUCUAGAAGACUCCAGAAGCCACGAGACCGAAGCGGAGGCGAAACGGGGCCAGAGACAGGGCGCCCGCCCUGCCCCCAAGUCCAAUCAGGACUCUGCUUUGCGGGAGAUCUCCACCGACCUAAAGGAUGAGUCUAAACCAUACAAUCUAUGUCGGUUUGAUCCAAGGGCCCAUAUUCACUUGGAGGGACUAUAAAACCAGACCCCCGGGCCCCUGGAGGAGAGAGCCUCUCAACCCUAAUUCAUUGUUCCAUCAAGGGAGAAGAAGCCUCUGAUCAAGAUUAGAGCCACCACAUCAAUUAUACAUCUAGAUUAGCAUAGCUACAUAGGAUUAGAACUAGAAGGAGUCAAUCUUCGAUUGGUUUCCGGAUCUGUCAAGAGGAUUCUUGGUAAUUCUCUAAUUGUGCUUUUAAUUGCUUUCUAAUUAUCUUUGUUCUUCAAUAUUAUGAAUAUGACUUUGUUCUACUUCAAUAUAUUGCUUAUGACUUUGCUCUACUUACUUAUAUUCAAGAUUAUAUUAUUCUUAAUUUAUCAUAGUUAUGUACUUGGCUUAGUUAGAUUCGAUCUAUAUACAUGCUUAGGAUCGUAUAGCGUUUAUCCAUCGGAUCCAUGGAUAAAUGAUAGAUAUUGUGUAGGCGUGGUGCUUAUACCGUAUUUAUCUGCGAUUGUACCCAAUAUGCCAGAUCGUGGGGUGGUUCGUGAUAGUGACAGUUUCAUUGAUUCUUAUAUAGUCCCCCUCUCGUGUAUUGGGCUGGCAGAGCAACAUUAUUACAGGGGUGUGAUUGCUAUGUUUCUCAUAUUCCUUGCUAAUAUCACUAUGCAUGGGUGUAGUCUUGUCUCACAAUGAUUGCUAAGUAUGGUUGCACUAAUUAUGAUAAUGCUAGACUAUAUAGUUAAGAAUAACUUAGGGAAUAUUCUUGUAGUUCGUUCUAAUACCAUGCUAAUGACUUUCUAGAGUAUCUAAUUGAGGUGCUUAUCAUAUUUAUUAUGUGGCUAGAUCAGAUUAGUUAUCCUUGUCACUAUUAUUAUUUCAUAUAUCUUUUAUGUGACACUUAUCUCUGUAUGAAGAGUUAGAUAUAAUGUUCUCAAUUAUACAUGCAAUGAUAGAUUCUCAAUCUCAUAUUCUAUUCUGUAAUCAUUAGUGAUGAUUUCUAAUCCCUUCCCAGUGGUAAAAAUAUAAAUAAUGAUACCUGGAAUACUUCCCGGUUAAAAUGCUGCAUCGGUAUUAAUCUGUGCGCUUGCAGAUCCCAUUCAUUAUUUAUUUAGAAGAGCAAUUGCAUAUUUCAAUACCGCGUCUCUUAUAUCAUGCUGGGGAUGACAACUUGGCUUAAGUGGUGUGAAGGAUAGGUUUGGCAUUUUUGGCACCGUUACUAGAUUUAGAGAACUUAGUCUACUUUUGGUAAUGAUGUUAAGAAUACCCAACAGUCUACCCAUCCGUUCUUGAUGAUUUGCCUCCUCUGGUUGCGGUUGCGUCGUCUUCUUGUCCUGACCUGCAUAGAGUCUUCAACUAUAUAGUUAUGGUCAGUAAAAUAGUUGCGUACCUUCUUAGAGGGGAAGUACAUGUGGACUUCUCCAGUUCCAAUGUAGAUGAUUGCUUUGGUAGUGUUGAGGAACGGUCUUCCAAGGAUGGUGGGUGGAUCAUAUUCGUCUUCUCCCAUGUCAAUGACCUGAGAAUCAUCUGGAGCUGAAUAUAUUGGUUGUAGGGGCAUGGUUCCAUGCAGGAGCUGAUAAGUGACUGCGGUCAUUAUGUUGUCGUCAGAUCCGGUGUCGUAGAGUGUCUUCUAAAAAGAGUAUCCAUUGAUUGCGCACUCGAUGCUUGGAACACCAGAGUCGUCCUUCUUGAUCAAGAAAGGUGGCUUGAGUCGACGAUGUUGACCUCUUCCGAUAAGGAUCCAAUGUUUUAAGUCUUCUGGACAAGACUUUCCACCAUCUUCAUCCUUUAGGUGCAUCAUUUGAUUAGGUGUGAACCUUGACGUCUGCACCUCUUGAUACGGUGUCACCCAUGUUCUUCUUUGCCCAGUAGUUCGAAGUAUGGUGUUGGCAAUAUCCUGCUCAGUGUGUUUGUGCUCAUAGAUCCAGGUCCUUCACUUGGUGGAGUCUGGGAGUUGUAAAACUCCUCCAUGUUUUGCUUGAAGUGUACCUGUUCAUAGAGACAAGGCAGAGAUCAAGUGUAUGGGCUCUGUUGGUGGAAAACACCAACAGAACCAAAAGUGUAUUUGUUUUUCUCUAACCUUAAGCAUAAUGAGCAAGACAAAGUUGAUGAAUAAUAAGAUCAUGAGUGUAUUAUUUGAAACAUUUGUCAGAUCAGAUGGCUCAACCUAAUGGAAAGAUAAUCUAUCUAUAUUUAUGUUUUGUUUAUAUCUUCCAAAUAUUGAAUGUGCAACAUAUUAGCUUAUAUGUUUAGGAGCGUGGGAUCACGAAGGUAGUACUAAGAACAAAGAUUAAAGGACUAAACAUGUUGAAUUAAUUGAGUUGGUUAAUCUGGAGUUAUAAAUCAUACAUGUUUGUCUCUUUAUUUAUGUGAAUGCUUGAACCAAGGAGAAGCUUAUAAAAGCGAUAGUCAAGUACCUUAAGGUGUUUCCUUACUUGAAGAGUGACGGUACAGUAUCACCUUGUGGAAGCUUUCCUUUCUUAGAGGUUGUGCAUCGUGUUUGUGGCACCCUCCAUGAAUCAUCUCUUAUGAGCUACGUCUUUCUUGUGCAAAUUGUUAAACUUCAUGUGUUACUUUCUUCAUCUCUAAUGCGAGUUUAUCUCAGGACUUCCCAGGUUGAUAUUGAAAGUUUUCCUGCAGGGGUUAGUCCAACAAAAUAUCCCAUAUCUACUAUAGCAUACUAUCGGCUUAAAAAAAUCAACCUAGACACCAUGUCUAAUUUGAUUCAGAAGGGCAUUUUAACCUAAGCACCAUGCUUAAUUUAAAAUCCCUUGGAAGUAAGAUCAUCAUUCCUAAACUAAGCACCAUGCUUAAUUAAGAGAUAAAUGAAACUAUUCCAAACCUAGACAUAUACUAAAGCAAAUAAAGGUAGCAUGAGAGCAUUUAUAGAGAUCUACUUAAGUGGAGAUGACGUAGUGUAAUCAGUAUUUAACAAAUUGAGCAUGUCUCAAAGGUAAGGACAACCAACGUAGCAACAUGGCAAAAGAUGUUUUUAUGUAAAGUACUCCCCCAAGCUUGAAUUUUACAAAAUUCAAGUUUGGAUGAAUUUAAUUCAAUGUUGUGUGAUGGUUGGUUGGACAUACCCUGUGCUUGUCAUUCAUCCGAUCUUCUUGCUCCAGUCCUGGAAAGGUUAGUGACAAGAAUACCCGAAGGAAUAUUUCUACAAUUAUAUUUAUAUGCUCAAUACACAAGGCAAUGUUGCAAAUAAUUAGAAGUUCAUGUUAUGAUCUGAUAAGUGCUUGUUUUAGGACACUAAGCUUGUCCUUGGGAAACCACCAAGUUAUGUUGGUGAAGUGGUUUCUCCUCCAACAUCUACCUAUAUCAAGAUCAACUCAACGAGAUCUGCAAUAUUUAUUUAACCAUGCAAGCGGCUCGGGCCUGCCCGCAAGCCUGCUAGGCCCGCCCCGCAAAACAGGCCCACUAGGCAACCGUGGCCUGCAUGCUUUUCUGUUGCGGGCUGAAGCGGCCUGGCCUGCUAGCGAAUGCAGAUAGUUCGCAGAACCUGCAAAGUCCCACAAAUGCCUGCGUCGCCUAGCUACUCCGUCUCCGCCGCCGUCGCCGCUUCUGUAUGCUAGGUCUUGCGACUGUUCAACACUGUGCGCAACAGCGCUCUCUAUCCGCGUCCAUGGCCGAGGUGGCUGCUGUCUAUCCGCGUCCAUGCCGGUGCCGGCCCCGAGGUCCAUACUGCCCCUCUCCAAAACGCGGAUGCCGACGGCCAAAUGCCACAACAGGUAUGCUUUGUGCUCACUAAUCUUGCUCUGAAAAAGAUGUGCUCACUAAUGCGAUAAAGUGCAUUAAACUUUGUCAGACUCAUUUGGAGUCUCAACACUAGCACUGCUCGAAUCCUAAUAUUUAAAACUAGAUACACUGUCCAAUUAACUUUUAACAUGCUUCCGUGAUGCAAAAGAAGUGUGAUGCAGUAAAACACUUUAGAUUGUGCCGAGAUGCUGAAAGUUGUGGAUUUUCCUGGAGUUUCUGUUUCUUGCUAGAGUCAUGUUCUUCUGACCUUUAACAUCUUCGUCCAUAUGAAGUUUUCACAAUCAUGCUGAAUAUUUUCCUGUAUUGCAUUCUAAUUGCUUUCAUGUAACCUCAAACAAAAUUAAGUUGUGAAUUCUACAAUGUAUUUUUCUCUUUUGUAGAAUGCUAAAAAAAGCGAUAUCAAGCAAAUUAAGUUGUCACAAUCAUGCUGAAUAUUUUCGUUUUCCACUGAAAUAUGCUGCUCCAAUGAUACUAACUGUUGCAAAAGUUUCUGAACCAUGAUUCUGGAAGGGUGCCAAAAUAGUUGUUGCGGCCGGUAGGGGCGGUUUGCAGAGCUCUGGAAGGGUCAAAAGUUUCUGAACCAUGAUUCUGGAAGGGUGCCAAAAUAGUUGUUGCGGCCGGUAGGGGCGGUUUGCAGAGCUCUGGAAGGGUCCCGGUAACACAAUUGGUUCGCCGUGCUUAUCUCCUAACAGUUUCUUUCUGUGUAUAGUUAAACUAACAAAAGAACUAUUUGUCGGCAAUACAGUAAAGCAGUGACACUUGUGUACAUUUCAAUAAUAUUUCCAAAUGUUCUGAUGUUAAGUUUUUUACUCAAUGAGAGAUUGAACAAAUUGUAAUUGACUUUAACCUUGGCACAGGUGUUGUAAAUCCUUGCAUACACAAGCACUAUUCGACAACAAGAAGGCCUGGAGCAUACUUAUUAUUUAUGCCAUAUUUUGUACUUGUUCCUUGUGAGUAAUUUAUGUAUUUGUGGCUUUUUGAUGUAAUAAUACAGCCAUUUUGUAUGUAUUCCUGCAAAGAUUAUAUUUUAGUAGUAAUUUGUUUUUGUAUGAUUUGAUGAUAUUUAUACAUGAGGAAGACAAGACAUUAAUUUGGCAAACCCUCUCAUUAAAAAAAAUUAGCAGGCCCUGCUAGGCCUUGCAGGACUGGUCACUAGGCCCAACGGCAGUUUGCGGCCUGAGUGCACCCGUCAGCAGAGGUCUGCAAAGCCUGCAAAUCCUUUUUGCGGCAGGUUGUGGUGGACUGCAGAGCGGCCCACUUGCAAGUUGAUAUUUAUUAUAGACAUAUGCAUCGACAACCGUCCUUUUAAAGUUUUUAUAAAUGAAAAGGAAGAGGGGGUUGGAGAUCUCAAAUGUGGUAAGGAUGGAGAGACAAAUUGAUUGGAGAGAUGUUUUAUAUGAGCAAGGACUGGGUGAGGUAUUUAUGAAAUAACUUCCAUGCUCACUGUUGUUUCUCUCAUUCUUAAACUCCAAGGAUGAUUCUUCAUGAAUGCUUAAAAUUCGUUUAGGAUUGUCUCUCAAGUUUGUUUUAUCUAUCCAUUCAAUGGUGAUAGCACAUGGAUUUUUAAUGCCCUCUAGCCAUUGAUGUUGCUCUUCUCGAUCCUCCUUCUUAUGCAUGGGAUGUCUAGAGAGAUUCAAAGGAUUAUCGGGAGGUUCAAGAGAAAAAGCAUAGUAGAAAUUAUUAAGCUCAAGGAUGGGUUGGAUAGCCGAAUUAUGGGAUUGAAAUGUUUGGAAAUCGGCUAUUGAAACUUCCUCUCCUUGUAUGGGAGAUGAUUCCUUCUCUAUCUCUAAGAUUUUUCUAUGAAGACUAGUGCAAGAAGGAUGUAUACGAAUGAAGACAUACCUUCCUUUACUAAUAGAUAAAGAAAGAAAGACUCUACCAAAGGUUAUAUGAUUAAGACCAAUGUGAAAAUAUCUAGGAAAAACAUGGUCUUGUAGGGCUAGGUCUAAACCAGAAUUUAUAGAAAGAUUAAAAGUUUCCCUAGGUGUAGCUAAAAGUGCAUUAUCUUUUUGAUUAAAAGAUAGGACCUCAGCUAUAGAAAAGGGUUGGUUUUGACCUAUUGCAAUCAACUCCGGACACAGAUCAUAAUUAGGGGCAGGACGUGUUGACUCCCAUGGUCUAUGGCUGGUCUCCGAAGGUGCAAAGAAUUUAAUAAUAGGUAUGGAAUUUGAGUUAUCCAUAAAGAUAAAAAUAAAGAAUAAAAGUAUAAAAGUAUAAUACAAGAUAAUAGCAAGACUCAAAGUUAUCUCAGCAAACCGUCUUUCUCCCCGGCAACGGCGCCAGAAAUGCUUGUUGAUAUUUGGGAACGCAAUAAGGAAUUGAUCCGCAAGCGCACGGAUAUCGGUGAGCACUUCACCCGGGAAAUUAUCCAGAGUAUCGUAUUUAUUUUUUUACCACUAGGAGAAAGAGUGCAUCUGACUAACCGGUCUAUUACUACUAACCUUUUGGCACAAAGAAUGUCUUUCGAUGUGAGUGAUAAAUAGAGAAGACUGCAACCGUAGUCUCCUUCUAACCUUGGUAAGGAUGAUCUACUGUUCUAAUGGGGAGGCUAACGGAAUCUGGACACCACAAAGGAUGUUCAACCCGCACAUAUAAACCCUAUCCUUCCUGCUAACGAGAUGUGAUCUACAAAGGUAACUCAGAAUUAUCACAUUCCUCACUACUACCACGGUCCAGCUAGUCAGGGAAUAUCUAUGAGUACCCCAGCCUAAACACCACGUUUACGCCAGCAAUGAUUACUCUAAACUCUACGCGAAGAGAUUAAAGUAAACUCAUAAACCAUAAGAACAAUAAAACAAGAACUUACUAGAAUUUAGAAGUCGAAAUACUGAAGAAUCCUAGGAGCAAGCUUCGGGUUAGGAGAACUUGAUCCCGCAGGUACAAGCUUGGAGUAGACACCGACAGGCCGGGCUUCCUCCAAUCUACACCUCCACUCUAUCUCUCUCAAUCUAGUAGAAACUAGAAGAUCUAUUUCUACCUUACAUUGGUUGCUAAGCCUAAAAAAGAAAUAUUAAUUAGAGAAGAGCUUUUCCUUCGAGGGCACCCCUCAGUCUCUAUGAUAAUUUCUUCAUGUCUUCUCCAGGGGCCAGGGGGGUCUCCUUAUAUAGUCCUCCCCUUCUAUGCGUUUUUGGGUCGGUAGGCAAGGUGGUACUAUGUUUUCCUUGAUCCAAUAGGUCGGUGGAACAUCCCGAGCGAAGAGAGUCCUGAAAGCUCUCCAGCAGGGGGCGGGCGCCCAGGUCACCAGGGCGGGCGCCCUGGGCCUGGCCCCUUUCGGCCUCCGCUUCCUUCCCGUGGCUUCUGGAGUCUUCUAGAUGGUAGAAAAUUACGCGGUGCUUUGAUAUCUCUAUCUAAUCCCGACAUGUGGGCCUUUCUUCCAUAUUUCCUGAUAACCCCCUGCAGAAAUAGACAAACACCAAAACUCGUGGAAUUCUGUCAGAUAAAACCCUAAGUCUAGAUGUUGAUUUCAUUUGGAUCCUUUUCUUUGUUUAUUUGAUAAUUAAAUUUGAUACUUAAGGACCGUCAACAACUAGCAGACGGAGGACAUUCUAAUCGCUGUCAGAAUGCUGCUGACUUUCAAAUACACCUCUGCCACCUGCUAGCUACAUCAAGAGAAAUUACGUCAAAAUUCAGCUUGGGGGAGAGCACCCCCAUUUAUCUCUAUAAGUAUUUCUAUCUAUCUAUCUUUAUACUUAUAUUAUUUUAGAAUAUAAAUUUACAUAACUAUGGAAAAAUCAAAUAAAGAUUUUAUGCUUAUAUAUAUAUCUUUUGCUUAGUGUGUUUAAUAAAUAAAUAAAGUGGCUAUGCUAAUCUGUAUCUUAAUAGUAAAACUCAAGCAUGGAUAUGAUGAAUAGUUGCACAUUUUAAGAUCUCUCUCAAGUUUAGACAUAACUGUUAUAAUUUAAAUCUUGCUCUAGACCUAAACUUGUGGGAUGAAAACUUGAUCUGAAAUCUAAGUUGUUAACGGAUAUGAUAUGGGAAGGUUGAGCUGCUGUUUAUCUGUUCCUAGAGAUGCUAGAAUUCUGGAGAAUUUUAUCUUUGAAAAUCUUUAAAAUGUUGCAUGAUGAGUUCCUGUAUGAUGAGAGUUUAAAUUCCUACCACAGCCAUAUAUACAUGCUUGCUAGACUUUGAGCCACACAUUUACUAUUUACUGCUUAUGAGCAUUGAGUGUGGUCAAGCUGUGUAGACCCUUAGGAGCUUGUCAUGUGGUUAAAUCAAGAUUUCACUUACACGUUCACUCAUAUAUGCUACUUCUAUUCCGGAAGUACCAUCCACAUAUAUCCAUCUAUUUCCAUCUCCAGAAUCACCCAAAAAUAUUCUACUCCUAAUUCGGGAGAGAAUAACCAAAAAUAUUUCUAUUUUCCCCUAUGAAAUAAAUGCUCAAGUUAUCUUUUUACUACCACUUGCUAUAUUAUAUCAAGAGAUGAGUGCUCUAAAAAAGAAGAAGAAAAAAAUACGAGGAAAUAAAAAGGAAAGAAAAAGUGAGACGAGAGGUAAAAAUGGACAAGUGUCCGAUAGUAGAAUUAGGGGUACAAGAUACCCACCUGAGAGAAAAGAAAAAGAAGAGCAUCUCAUUCUCCUCAUAAUGUUUGAAAAAGCAAGAAAGGUAUGUAUCCCCUCAAAGAGCAAAGUAGAAUUAGACUUCCACCAUUGUUAUCACCAUCAUCACCAUAUACCAUUCAUUCGCCACACAUGCACAUCUUGAUUAAACUUAUUGACUUGUUUCUUUGGAUCCAUGGUUUGACUAUACAAUAAAUGUCUUGUAAGUAUGUAUCUCCCACCUAUGAGCUCCAGAUAUUAAAGCCUUAUUAGAGUAGGGUGAGAGAGAAGGCAAUGUCACUAUGCCUUAUACCACAAAUACUACAUAUCUUGAGAGAAGGCAUAUACCAUUACUGCCUUGGUAAGGAUCCAGAAAUACCACAAAAGAGAGAUUUGAAAGUGAGUCAUACAAGGAAUCUCUGAGUUUUAUUUCAAAAUCUGCAAAAACCCCAGAGCUAUAGCUGAUCAAGAAUAAGAGACAUGGCACUUGACUAGACUGUUCUAUCUUUUAACUACUCAAGACAGAAGUGACGAUUACGAGUCCCAUGGUGAAGGAAAAGUAAGUAAGUUUUAAGUCUUGACAGUUUACUCUAACUUAGAGAUGAGAUCUUAUUUAAAAGCAUAUGUACCUUCAAUUUUUAAAUAUAUUGCAACAACUUAUGAUCCAUAGCUGAGUCUAUCCUUGCUUAGGGACGAGCAAGAGGUAAGCUUGGGGGAGUUUGUUGACGGUCCUUAAGUAUCAAAUUUAAAUAUCAAAUAAAUAAAGAAAAUGAUCCAAAUGAAAUCAACAUCUAGACUUAGGGUUUUAUCUGACAGAAUUCCAUAAGUUUUGGUGUUUGUCUAUUUCUGCAGGGGGUUAUCAGGAAAUAUGGAAGAAAGGCCCACACGUCGGGAUUACAUAGAGAUAUUAACGUGCCGCGCAAUUAUCUUACAUCUAGAAGACUCCAGAAGCCACGAGACCGAAGCGGAGGCGAGACGGGGCCAGAGGCAGGGCGCCCGCCCACCUCCUGAGUCCAAUCAGGACUCUGCUUCGUGGGAGAUCUCCACCAACCUAAAGGAUGUGUCUAAACCAUACAAUCAAUGUCGGUUUGAUCCAACGGCCCAUAUUCACUUGAAGGGACUGUAAAACCAGACCCCCUAGCCCUUGGAGGAGAGAGCCUCUCAACCCUAAUUCAUUGUUCCUCAAGGGAGAAGAAGCCUCUGGUCAAGAUUAGAGCCACCACAUCAAUUAGAUAUCUAGAUUAGCAUAGCUACAUAGGAU
rnacentral:lncRNA from 1 species